GGAACCGUGAGACAGGUGUUGCAUGGCUGUCGUCAGCUCGUGUUGUGAAAUGUUGGGUUAAGUCCCGCAACGAGCGCAACCCUUAUCCUUUGUUGCCAGCGGUCCGGCCGGGAACUCAAAGGAGACUGCCAGUGAUAAACUGGAGGAAGGUGGGGAUGACGUCAAGUCAUCAUGGCCCUUACGACCAGGGCUACACACGUGCUACAAUGGCGCAUACAAAGAGAAGCGACCUCGCGAGAGCAAGCGGACCUCAUAAAGUGCGUCGUAGUCCGGAUUGGAGUCUGCAACUCGACUCCAUGAAGUCGGAAUCGCUAGUAAUCGUGGAUCAGAAUGCCACGGUGAAUACGUUCCCGGGCCUUGUACACACCGCCCGUCACACCAUGGGAGUGGGUUGCAAAAGAAGUAGGUAGCUUAACCUUCGGGAGGGCGCUUACCACUUUGUGAUUCAUGACUGGGGUGAAGUCGUAACAAGGUAACCGU
rnacentral:rRNA from 1 species